AUUGCCCAGUUCUGGAUAUGAAGACAAUCAAGAAAAGAUUUGGUGUUCUUGAUUGUCUUCAUAUCUAGAACUGGGCAGU
rfam:Pan troglodytes isolate Yerkes chimp pedigree #C0471 (Clint) chromosome 2B, whole genome shotgun sequence.